AUAUUUCGCAGCUCAGAUAAACUUUAGCAACGUUUAAAAUAACUUGAACCUAAGACUUGUUUCCAAGAUGAAUCCUUCUCAAAUCUCGGGUAAAAGUUCUUCCGAAUCAAGCACAGAGGAAAGUAGCAGACAGAGACGAGAGUUGGCAAAAAUUCAAGAUCCUUCUCAAAUCUCGGGUAAAAGUUCUUCCGAACCAAGCCCAGAGGAAAGUAGCAGACAGAAUGAAG